AAUGCGUAGAUAUCGGGAAGAACAUCAGUUGCGAAGGCGGUCUCGUGGCCCAAUACUGACACUGAGGCUCGAAAGCUAGGGGAGCAAACAGGAUUAGAUACCCUGGUAGUCCUAGCCGUAAACGAUGGACACUAGAUGUUGGGGGAGUUAUUCCUUCAGUGUCGUAGCUAACGCGUUAAGUGUCCCGCCUGGGGAGUACGCUCGCAAGGGUGAAACUCAAAGGAAUUGACGGGGGCCCGCACAAGCGGUGGAGCAUGUGCUUUAAUUCGAUGCAACGCGAAGAACCUUACCUGGGCUUGACAUGGGAGUGAAAUCCCGUAGAGAUACGGGACUUUCCUUCGGGAACACUCCACACAGGUGCUGCAUGGUUGUCGUCAGCUCGUGUCGUGAGAUGUUGGGUUAAGUCCCGCAACGAGCGCAACCCUCGCCCUUAGUUGCCAGCGGGUAAUGCCGGGAACUCUAGGGGGACUGUCUGGUACAACCAGGAGGAAGGUGGGGAUGACGUCAAAUCAUCAUGGCCCUUACGCCCAGGGCUAGACACGUGCUACAAUGGCUGGUACAACGGGCUGCAAGCUCGCGAGAGCAAGCCAAUCCCUAAAAACCAGCCUCAGUUCAGAUUGGAGUCUGCAAUUCGACUUCAUGAAGGUGGAAUCGCUAGUAAUCGCGGAUCAGCAUGCCGCGGUGAUACGUUCCCGGGCAUUGUACACACCGCCCGUCAAGCCACGAAAGAUGGUAGUACCCGAAGUCGCUACUCUAACCCGCAAGGGAGGAGGGCGCCGAAGGUAAGAUCGUUGAUUGGGGCUAAGUCG
rnacentral:rRNA from 1 species